rnacentral:rRNA from 1 species
ACAAACCGGAGGAAGGUGGGGAUGACGUCAAGUCAUCAUGGCCCUUACGGCCUGGGCUACACACGUGCUACAAUGGUCGGUACAAAGGGUUGCCAAGCCGCGAGGUGGAGCUAAUCCAUAAAACCGAUCGUAGUCCGGAUCGCAGUCUGCAACUCGACUGCGUGAAGUCGGAAUCGCUAGUAAUCGUGAAUCAGAAUGUCACGGUGAAUACGUUCCCGGGCCUU